rnacentral:tRNA from 1 species
AUUUUUAUAGUGUAAAACACAUAACAUUUUCAUUGUUAAAAUGCUUUUUGCUAAAAAUA